rnacentral:rRNA from 1 species
UGUAGGUGAAACUGCGGAAGGAUCAUUCUCAUAUCCACAAAAACCUAAACCUGCCACACUGCUAGAGUUCGCUCUAGCUACAAAACCUAAAACAACACAAUAACUAAACUUUCCACUAAACUAAAAUCUCAACGGUGGAUGUCUUGGCUCCCAUAUCGAUGAAGAACGCAGCGAAGUGCGAUAAGCAAUGCGAAUUGCAGACCCACGAGUCAUUGGAGUUUUGAACGCAAAUGGCGCCAAUUCAUUGGCAUGCUUGCUUCAGUAUCUCUUUGAUCACUAACCCAAAUCAUUUGGUUUGGAGUUAUCUUAAUGCGAGUGAAGUAAUUCUCUUGCUAAAUACGAAAGCCCUCUGGCGCUGCCCAAUGCAGCCGUCGCCUUGUGCGAACUCAUUGCGUAGAUGUCAGGCAGUUCUACUGCAAGUGCUUAGAGUGACAAAACUUUUUUGGUAUCUGAAGUUAGUAAGGACACCCGCUGAACUUAAGAUAUCAGUA